GCCACUGCUGUUGGGGUUCGGCUAAGCCAUGCGAGUGGAGGGCGCGGUCGAAAGAUCGUGGCCCCGCACACGGCUCAGUAACACGUCGUCAACCCACCUUAGGGUGGGGGACAACCUCGGGAAACUGAGGAUAAUCCCCCAUAGGCGGGGGAGGCUGGAAUGCGCCCCCGCUGAAAGCUCAGGCGCCCUAGGACGGGACGGCGGCCUAUCAGGUAGUUGGUGGUGUGACG
rnacentral:rRNA from 1 species